AUUGAACGCUGGCGGCAUGCCUUACACAUGCAAGUCGAACGGCAGCGCGGACUUCGGUCUGGCGGCGAGUGGCGAACGGGUGAGUAAUGUAUCGGAACGUACCAUUGAGUGGGGGAUAACGUAUCGAAAGUUACGCUAAUACCGCAUAUUCUCUCCGGACGAAAGCAGGGGACCGCAAGGCCUUGCGCUCUUUGAGCGGCCGAUAUCAGAUUAGCUAGUUGGUGGGGUAAAAGCUCACCAAGGCGACGAUCUGUAGCGGGUCUGAGAGGAUGAUCCGCCACACUGGAACUGGGACACGGUCCAGACUCCUACGGGAGGCAGCAGUGGGGAAUUUUGGACAAUGGGGGCAACCCUGAUCCAGCCAUGCCGCGUGAGUGAAGAAGGCCUUCGGGUUGUAAAGCUCUUUCGGCCGGGAAAAAAUCGCAUGGAUUAAUACUCUGUGUGGAUGAUGGUACCGGGAUAAGAAGCACCGGCUAACUACGUGCCAGCCGCCGCAGUAACAC
rnacentral:rRNA from 1 species